CUGCAGUCGAGCGGUACAGGUGUAGCAAUACAUGCUGACGAGCGGCGGACGGGUGAGUAACGCUUGGGAAUCUGCCUGUUAGUGGGGGACAACCCGGGGAAACUCGGGCUAAUACCGCAUACGCACUACGGUGGAAAGCCGGGGACCGCAAGGCCUGGCGCUAACAGAUGAGCCCAAGUCGGAUUAGCUAGUUGGUAGGGUAACGGCCUACCAAGGCGACGAUCCGUAACUGGUCUGAGAGGACGACCAGUCACACCGGAACUGAGACACGGUCCGGACUCCUACGGGAGGCAGCAGUGGGGAAUAUUGGACAAUGGGCGAAAGCCUGAUCCAGCGACGCCGCGUGGGUGAAGAAGGCCUGCGGGUUGUAAAGCCCUUUCGGUGGGGAAGAAAAGCCUCGAGCUAACACCUCGGGGUCUUGACGUAACCCAUAGAAGAAGCACCGGCUAACUCUGUGCCAGCAGCCGCGGUAAUACAGAGGGUGCGAGCGUUAAUCGGAAUUACUGGGCGUAAAGCGCGCGUAGGCGGCUUUGCAAGUCGGGUGUGAAAUCCCCAGGCUUAACCUGGGAACUGCAUUCGAGACUGCAUUGCUAGAGUAUGGGAGAGGGAAGUGGAAUUUCCGGUGUAGCGGUGAAAUGCGUAGAUAUCGGAAGGAACAUCAGUGGCGAAAGCGACUUCCUGGACCAAUACUGACGCUCAUGUGCGAAAGCGUGGGGAGCAAACAGGAUUAGAUACCCUGGUAGUCCACGCCAUAAACGAUGAGAACUGGAUGUCGGGAGGGUCUGCCUCUCGGUGUCGUAACUAACGCGUUAAGUUCUCCGCCUGGGGAGUACGGCCGCAAGGUUGAAACU
rnacentral:rRNA from 1 species